UCCUCUUGGACGUCACCCCUCCCCCCUCUCACAUCUUCUUUCUCCUCAAACCUUUGCAGCCCUCACCACCCAAAACCCUAGCCGCCCCCCAUUUCUCUUUCCCCCCUCCAAGGUGCAGCCCUCCCGCGUGUUCUCCGUCGUGUGGCUGCGAUCUCAAUUGGAGUUUGGAGGGAGGAAGAAGGAAGGAGGAAGGGAAGAACCCAAGGUGAAUUCAUGUUUAAAUUUUGUUGUUUUUGUGCUGCAAUCAAUUGGAUUAUGCGUUUAUCUUUGCGAAUCGGUAGAGGUGCUGUCCAGGAAUUUUGUGAGUGGGUGGACAGCAGUAGUUCUAGGGAUUUCUGGGAAUUUUCGUGGGUUAAUUAGUAUGAAUCAGUGGGAUAAUCAUGUAGAGCUUUGUCAUACCUUUCCAACAAGUACUUAUGCGCUCGAUUCGGAGUUAUAAUUUAGAAGAUAUCAUUGUUUGAAUCCAGAUAUGUUGCUGUCCAAUAAAACAGAUUUUUCAGGUGGGUGAACAGCAGUAGUAUUAGCAGUUUCUGGGAAUUUUUAGUGAGUAAUUAGUGAUAACCAGUAUGAUAAUCAUGUAGGACUUUGUCUUAUCUUUCCAAUGAGUACUUAUGCGCUUAAUUUGGAAUUAUAUUUUAAAAGAUAUUGCUGUUUGAAUCCGGGUAUGUCGCUGUCCAAAAGAGAAAAAAACAGAUUACAGGGUUUAUCUUGUGGACUGUUUUGGGAUAAUUAGAUGUUAGAAUUUUAUUAUAAAUUGUAUACAAAACUUGUGGGGAAUUUGAUGUAGAUGCCUCUGGAGUUUUUGGUUGUCACCACUGCUAUCAUAAUUUUAAAGUUAUGAAAUUAUUAAGCAGCGCCGCUGCAGUUUGGUGGGUGCGGGGAGAAUUGUUACCCGUGGCGGGGUUUGAGAUUGUGCGUAGGUGCGGCGUCGUUUAUGAGGCUUAUUAUGUGAAAUUGGUGCACUAAGUUGUGUGUCAAAAACAGGUGGUGGACUUCCG
rnacentral:lncRNA from 1 species